GACGAACGCUGGCGGCGUGCCUAAUACAUGCAAGUCGAGCGAAUCAAUAGGAGCUUGCUCCUGUUGGUUAGCGGCGGACGGGUGAGUAACACGUGGGCAACCUGCCUGUAAGACUGGGAUAACAUCGGGAAACCGAUGCUAAUACCGGAUAAUUCAUUCCCUCUCAUGAGGGAAUGUUGAAAGUCGGUUUCGGCUGACACUUACUGAUGGGCCCGCGGCGCGUUAGCUAGUUGGUGAGGUAACGGCUCACCAAGGCGACGAUGCGUAGCCGACCUGAGAGGGUGAUCGGCCACACUGGGACUGAGAAACGGCCCAGACUCCUACGGGAGGCAGCAGUAGGGAAUCUUCCACAAUGGACGAAAGUCUGAUGGAGCAACGCCGCGUGAGCGAUGAAGGCCUUCGGGUCGUAAAGCUCUGUUGUUAGGGAAGAACAUGUACCGGAGUAACUGCCGGUACCUUGACGGUACCUAACCAGAAAGCCACGGCUAACUACGUGCCAGCCGCCGCCGUAA
rnacentral:rRNA from 1 species